rnacentral:ncRNA from 1 species
AACUUUGCUCCGGACAAAUGAAACGAUGAAGCGUUGUUCGGAGC